rnacentral:rRNA from 1 species
UUCCUACGGGGGGCAGCAGUGAGGAAUAUUGGUCAAUGGGCUUACGCCUGAACCAGCCAAGUCGCGUGAGGGAAGACUGCCCUAUGGGUUGUAAACCUCUUUUGCCGGGGAGCAAGCGUGCGUUCGUGAACGCGCGUCGAGAGUACCCGGAGAAAAAGCAUCGGCUAACUCCGUGCCAGCAGCCGCGGUAAUACGGAGGAUGCGAGCGUUAUCCGGAUUUAUUGGGUUUAAAGGGUGCGUAGGCGGGAUGCCAAGUCAGCGGUAAAAAUGCGGUGCUCAACGCCGUCGAGCCGUUGAAACUGGCG